CUAGAAUGGUACACAUGUGCAAACACAGAUAAUGUUAGAAGUCUCUAAAUGCUAUGGAUGGAUGCUAAAUGCUCGAAAUGUUGGAUAUUCUAGAAGUUACUGGAAUUUUGUACAUUUUAUGCAGCAUGUUCUUGUCAGAACACACACUUCCAGGUUGUUGCUGUUGUCUUUUUCCUCAUUAUGAAAGGACUUUCGGGAACAAAAAAGGUCCUGUGUGAGAUCUAGGAAAGCAGACGAACUAAGACAGGCUGCCAGACUCACACAAGAACCGACAAGUGUCAUAGUGGUCUUUUACUCUUCCUACAAGUGUGUGUGCAGAGAGGAGGAGACAGAUCCAGUGGAGCAUAGACUUGUACUGAGUGUGUUCAUGGGGAGCUGCAGCGCAUCUUCUCUAGCCGUGGCUCUGUAGCGACCCUCCAUCACCAACUGCAGCUGUUUCACCCGAGAUUGCAGAGCGAGCAGCUGGAUCAGGUUCUGCAAAGGAGAACCACAGAACAUUUAAUAAGGUUCCAAAGGAAAGGAUCCAAAGCCAGAUUUGGCCAAGUUUCUAAGCGUAGAACAUCAGAGAGGCAUUAAACUUAGUAACAAGAAGGGCUGGUGGAAUUGCCCCUGCUGCUUGUUCUCUGUGAAGCUGCUUGUUUACAUAUGUUCUCUAACCAGCUAUGGGUUCUUUUAGGAACAAAACUCAUCUCAACACCACUAAACUAAAAUUAUGGGAUGUUUUGUGCAGAUUCAGGACAUAAAGUCACAACACACAAGGUUCUGCAGUGUGUUCUGAAGGUUGGCACGUGUUGUGUGUUUGCGAUUGCUCUGUGUCUGAGCCUCGCUGCGUCUCUAUGUUUUCACGUCGAGCGACUGCCGCCUCCAUCUCCCUCAACAUCAUCUGCUGCUUCAACAGCUGGUUGUAAUAACGCUGAAACACACACACGCACAAUAUACAAAUAAAACACAAACAAAAAAUGAACAAAAAUAUACACUUAUGCACAGAAAUCCUUAACAAGUUAUCAUAAAUAAACUUUCCUCUCUCA